GCUGGAAUAGUUCAUUUGGUUAGAGCGUGUGGCUGUUAACCACAAGAUUGAAGGUUCAAGCCCUCCUUCUAGCA
rnacentral:tRNA from 1 species